AACGAACGCUGGCGGCAUGCCUAACACAUGCAAGUCGAACGAGACCUUCAGGUCUAGUGGCGCACGGGUGCGUAACGUGUGGGAACCUGCCCUUAGGUUCGGAAUAACUCCCCGAAAGGGGUGCUAAUACCGGAUAAUGUCUUCGGACCAAAGAUUUAUCGCCUUUGGAUGGGCCCGCGUUGGAUUAGCUAGUUGGUAGGGUAAAAGCCUACCAAGGCGACGAUCCAUAGCUGGUCUGAGAGGAUGAUCAGCCACACUGGGACUGAGACACGGCCCAGACUCCUACGGGAGGCAGCAGUGGGGAAUAUUGGACAAUGGGCGAAAGCCUGAUCCAGCAAUGCCGCGUGAGUGAUGAAGGCCUUAGGGUUGUAAAGCUCUUUUACCCGGGAUGAUAAUGACAGUACCGGGAGAAUAAGCUCCGGCUAACUCCGUG
rnacentral:rRNA from 1 species